rnacentral:rRNA from 1 species
AGAAAUGCAUGUUCUCUUCGGAGCACUGGAGACAGGUGGUGCAUGGUUGUCGUCAGCUCGUGUCGUGAGAUGUUGGGUUAAGUCCCGCAACGAGCGCAACCCUUAUCCUUAGUAGCCAGCAGGGAAAGCUGGGCACUCUAGGGAGACUGCCAGGGAUAACCUGGAGGAAGGUGGGGAUGACGUCAAAUCAUCAUGCCCCUUAUGAUUUGGGCUACACACGUGCUACAAUGGCGUAAACAAAGGGAAGCGAAGUGGCGACAUGGAGCGAACCCCAAAAAUAACGUCUCAGUUCGGAUUGCAGGCUGCAACCCGCCUGCAUGAAGCCGGAAUCGCUAGUAAUCGCAGAUCAGAAUGCUGCGGUGAAUACGUUCCCGGGUCUUGUACACACCGCCCGUCACACCAUGGGAGUCGAUAACGCCCGAAGUCAGUGACCCAACCGAAAGGAGGGAGCUGCCGAAGGCGGGAUGGAUAACUGGGGUGAAGUCGUAACAAGGUAGCCGUAUCGGA